rnacentral:rRNA from 1 species
CGACCUGAGCUCAGGCAAGGCUACCCGCUGAACUUAAGCAUAUCAAUAA